CUAAGCGUACACGGUGGAUGCCCUGGCAGUCAGAGGCGAUGAAGGACGUGCUAAUCUGCGAUAAGCGCCGGUAAGGUGAUAUGAACCGUUAUAACCGGCGAUUUCCGAAUGGGGAAACCCAGUGUGAUUCGUCACACUAUCAUUAACUGAAUCCAUAGGUUAAUGAGGCGAACCGGGGGAACUGAAACAUCUAAGUACCCCGAGGAAAAGAAAUCAACCGAGAUUCCCCCAGUAGCGGCGAGCGAACGGGGAGGAGCCCAGAGCCUGAAUCAGCAUGUGUGUUAGUGGAAGCGUCUGGAAAGGCGCGCGAUACAGGGUGACAGCCCCGUACACAAAAGCGCAUGUGCUGUGAGCUCGAUGAGUAGGGCGGGACACGUGGUAUCCUGUCUGAAUAUGGGGGGACCAUCCUCCAAGGCUAAAUACUCCUGACUGACCGAUAGUGAACCAGUACCGUGAGGGAAAGGCGAAAAGAACCCCGGCGAGGGGAGUGAAAAAGAACCUGAAACCGUGUACGUACAAGCAGUGGGAGCACAGGUUUACCUGUGUGACUGCGUACCUUUUGUAUAAUGGGUCAGCGACUUAUAUUCUGUAGCAAG
rnacentral:rRNA from 1 species